GAGAAAAUCACAUAUAUAUUUAAAAAUUAAUUAUUUUAUUAUUUAUAUUUUAUUAAUUUUGUUUUCUGUAUUUUAAAAUAUAUUUUAUAAAAUAAAUCAGUAAUUUUUUCUUAUCCUAUCCUGCUGGUAACCCAGCUCAAAUUCAGGAUAAGAAUUAUAACUAGAGAGACAGGAUAGGAUAAACUUCAGGAUUAACUUAUCAUAUCCUGCUGUAUCACCAAACACUGGAUUGCGGCAGGAUAUGAUACAGUUAUCCUAUCCUGUCUCUUAUCAUGUCCACCUAAUGCUCUUUUUCCUAUUGUUUGUUCAAUUUUUUUUUUCCUAUUAUACUCAUAACUAUUUAUUACUCUCUCUUCUUUCAAUUCUUUAAUUUAUUUUUUUCAUAUCAUAAAUGAAGGACAAUUUUGUAAAUCAACUCAUAAUCUCUCUUUUCCAUACAACAUUAAUUAACUUUCUUAAUAUAUGUAAAAGUGUUAAAGCGACAUAUAUUGUGGUACGGAGGGAGUAACAAACAUAUGAUGACACUAUCAAUAAUAUAUUUUCAUUAAGAGAAAUUAUAAGAUUAACAUUAAGAUGAGCAAUGAAAAUGGAAGGUCAUGAUAGAGAAAUAAGACUUACUAUCUUAACCUUUUACAUUCAUUUCUAAAGCACGCCAUUGUUCCCCGAGGAGCAUUUGGAAAGCUUAUAUAGCAAUCUUCGUCAGUUUCGCACUUUGCUUUAUUGUAUGUA
rnacentral:lncRNA from 1 species